UGGAACUGUGCUAAGCAACUGAGAGUAAAGU
rnacentral:piRNA from 1 species